CCUACGGGAGGCAGCAGUCGAGAAUCAUUCACAAUGGGGGGAACCCUGAUGCAGCGACGCCGCGUGGGUGAAGGAGUGCUUCGGCAUGUAAAGCCCUAUCGGCAGGGAAGAAGCAAGACGGUACUUGACCAAGAAGCCCCGGCUAACUACGCCCAAGCAGCCGCGGCAAUAUGUAGGGGGCAAGCGUUAUCCGGAUUUACUGGGUGUAAAGGGGACGCAGACGGCAAGGCAAGCCAGGAGUGAAAGCCAGGGGCCAAAUCCCGGGACUGCUCGUGGAACUGGAUGGGUGGAGUACAGGGGGGGCAGGCGGAAUUCCUAGUGUAGCGGUGAAAUGCGUAGAUAGUAGGAGGAACACCGGUGGCGAAGGCGGCCUGCUGGACUGUGACUGACGUUGAGGCCCGAAGGCGUGGGGAGCAAACAGGAGUAGAGACCCCUGUAGUC
rnacentral:rRNA from 1 species